rnacentral:rRNA from 1 species
AUGGCUGUCAUUUCCACCGUUUUGUUUUCAGAGAGGGAACAGAAUUCUGUCAAAGACUUCUCUACCAAUAAUUGCAGCAAAAUUCUCUCUUUGUGUGUUUCUUACAUCACACCUGUGUAUGUGAUGAAGUUGAAAGAUUUCUUUCCAAAUAAAGAGUUGAGAGAGGCUCCAUAUUUUGAUGGGCGAGUUGUAUGCUAUCCAAAUAUGAAGACCAUUCGUGAUUAUUUGGCAUGGAGGCAACUGGACUGUAAGCUUCUUUAA